GAGCGGAUGACGGGAGCUUGCUCCUUGAUUCAGCGGCGGACGGGUGAGUAAUGCCUAGGAAUCUGCCUGGUAGUGGGGGACAACGUUUCGAAAGGAACGCUAAUACCGCAUACGUCCUACGGGAGAAAGUGGGGGAUCUUCGGACCUCACGCUAUCAGAUGAGCCUAGGUCGGAUUAGCUAGUUGGUGAGGUAAUGGCUCACCAAGGCGACGAUCCGUAACUGGUCUGAGAGGAUGAUCAGUCACACUGGAACUGAGACACGGUCCAGACUCCUACGGGAGGCAGCAGUGGGGAAUAUUGGACAAUGGGCGAAAGCCUGAUCCAGCCAUGCCGCGUGUGUGAAGAAGGUCUUCGGAUUGUAAAGCACUUUAAGUUGGGAGGAAGGGCAGUAAGUUAAUACCUUGCUGUUUUGACGUUACCGACAGAAUAAGCACCGGCUAACUCUGUGCCAGCAGCCGCGGUAAUACAGAGGGUGCAAGCGUUAAUCGGAAUUACUGGGCGUAAAGCGCGCGUA
rnacentral:rRNA from 1 species